AUUGAACGCUGGCGGCAGGCUUAACACAUGCAAGUCGAGCGAGCGGCGGACGGGUGAGUAAUGUCUGGGAAACUGCCUGAUGGAGGGGGAUAACUACUGGAAACGGUAGCUAAUACCGCAUACCAUCAGAUGAACCCAUAGGGGAUUAGCUUGUAGGUGAGGUAACGGCUCACCUAGGGGACUAUCCCUUGCUGGUCUGAGAGGAUGAUAGGCCACCCUGGGACUGAGACACGGCCCAAACUCCUACGGGAGGCAGCAGUGGGGAAUAUUGCACAAUGGGCGCAAGCCUGAUGCAGCCAUGCCGCGUGUAUGAAGAAGGCCUUAGGGUUGUAAAGUACUUUCAGCGGGGAGGCGUUACCCGCAGAAGAAGCACCGGCUAACUCCGUGCCAGCCGCCGCGGUAAUAC
rnacentral:rRNA from 1 species